GCUGGUGCUAUCACAACCAAGAGUCAAAUCCAUUCCAGAAAACACAAAGAAAAGCAGACACUGUGGCUGUGACUCUCCACCUUAACAAGCCUGAUCUGCACCAGAUCUCCAGAGCAUCACGUCAAAAUUGUGCAUCACACCACACAAGCUUCUCUUGAGCUCCUCAAGGCAUUCCUUGAUGCUGAAACGAAAAGCCACAGAAGGUUUGGUUUGCUUGAUUUACUAAGCAGCUCUGCAGGAACUAAAGCUACUCUGAAGAUGAAGAUUGCUCAGUAUGAUCAUCUUUUUCCCAAUGCAAAGUUUUUGUGGAACAGAUUCCUACCCUGAGCCUCUGCUGAAAGAUGUGUAACAGCUGCUGAAGAGGUCCCUGCACCUUUAGGUUUUGAGAAACACAUGUAUUUUCAUAGAAUCAUAGAAUCACAGGAUACUUUGUAUUGGAAAGGAUCUUUAAAGAUCAUCUGGAUUCAAGACACCUGCCAUGACUGACGGACCCCCCACUAGAACAGGUUGAUCAAUAAUUGGGUUUUUUUUGCAGUGAAAUAAAUUAGACCCACAUAUAUAAUGGCCCUGCCUAGCAGGGAAUCAGCUCCUGUAGGGAGGACUUACUCUUCAGCUCUUCCACCAAGCACAGGAUCCUCCCCAAGGCAAGAUAUCUGCAGCAGAGCUGCCUGUGGGCUGCCAACCCUCAGGAUGUGCCAGACACGAGCUAGAUAAGAAAUCUUUGGAAUGGUCCAAAACAGUUUCAGAGUGCUCAAUAUCUAGUAAAUAAUCAUAGACCAGUGCUGGCCCAUACUUUAUCCCAAAUUCAUUGCACUAAACACAGCCUAUAUACCAUCCAUAUCAAUGCAACAAAAUAAUUUGCUGUCUGGUUUAGAUAAUAAACUUCCCCUCCACCUAAUGCUGAUGUGCAGAUUUGCUUUACUUCCUACAGGAAAUUCUUCCAAUGCAGGAUGUUUUGAGGACUGAGUGACUAGAAGUAACAAGGCUGUGGUGAAGCACAGCAGUUUAGUUAGGAGUGAGGAGAUUAUGACUGACAAGCAAAGGAAGGAAGAAAACGGAACACUGCCUGAGAGGAAGGGUUGAGAUGAGUGUGAAAAAAAAGUAAAAGGUCAAAGCAAGAAAAUGAAUAAAAUGAAAAAGGAAAUAAAGAGAAUCAGAAAAGAAUAAAAAACACAGGAGAGACAGCAUCUGAGGGGAAUAUGUUGUAAAUAAAACAAGUCUUGAAGUGCAGCAGGACUAAAAUAAUGUAUUCAAAAGACC